GAUGAACGCUAGCGGCAGGCUUAACACAUGCAAGUCGAGGGGUAGAUGGUGCUUGCACCAUUGAUACCGGCGCACGGGUGCGUAACGCGUAUGCAAUCUGCCUUUCACAAAGGGAUAGCCCAGAGAAAUUUGGAUUAAUACCUUAUAAUAUAUUUCUGUGGCAUCACCUUAUUAUUAAAGAUUUAUCGGUGAAAGAUGAGCAUGCGUCCCAUUAGGUAGAUGGUAAGGUAACGGCUUACCAUGGCGACGAGGGGUAGGGGUCCUGAGAGGGAGAGCCCCCACACUGGUACUGAGACACGAACCAGACUCCUACGGGAGGCAGCAGUGAGGAAUAUUGGACAAUGGGCGCAAGCCUGAUCCAGCCAUGCCGCGUGGAGGAUGACGGUCCUAUGGAUUGUAAACUGCUUUUAUACGGGAAGAAACCCUGGCUCGUGAGCCAGACUGACGGUACCGUAAGAAUAAGGAUCGGCUAACUCCGUGCCAGCAGCCGCCGUAAAAC
rnacentral:rRNA from 1 species